AUUGAACGCUGGCGGCAGGCCUAACACAUGCAAGUCGAGCGAGCGGCGGACGGGUGAGUAAUGUAUGGGAAUCUGCCCGAUGGAGGGGGAUAACUACUGGAAACGGUGGCUAAUACCGCAUACUAUCAGAUGAACCCAUAUGGGAUUAGCUAGUAGGUGGGGUAAAGGCUCACCUAGGCGACGAUCCCUAGCUGGUCUGAGAGGAUGACCAGCCACACUGGGACUGAGACACGGCCCAGACGCCUACGGGAGGCAGCAGUGGGGAAUAUUGCACAAUGGGCGCAAGCCUGAUGCAGCCAUGCCGCGUGUAUGAAGAAGGCCUUCGGGUUGUAAAGUACUUUCAGCGGGGAGGCGUUACCCGCAGAAGAAGCACCGGCUAACUCCGUGCCAGCAGCCGCGGUAAUAC
rnacentral:rRNA from 1 species